rnacentral:rRNA from 1 species
UACGUAGGGGGCAAGCGUUGUCCGGAAUCAUUGGGCGUAAAGCGCGUGUAGGCGGUUCGAUUAGUCUGCUGUGAAAGUCAGGGGCUCAACCCUUGAAUGCCGGUGGAUACUGUCGGGCUAGAGUGCGGAAGAGGCGAGUGGAAUUCCUGGUGUAGCGGUGAAAUGCGCAGAUAUCAGGAGGAACACCAAUUGCGAAGGCAGCUCGCUGGGACGUUACUGACGCUGAGACGCGAAAGCGUGGGGAGCGAACAGG